rnacentral:rRNA from 1 species
UGCGUAGGCGGCCUAUUAAGUCAGUGGUGAAAGGUAUCAGCUUAACUGAUGACGUGCCAUUGAAACUGAUAGGCUUGAGUACAGACGAGGUAGGCGGAAUUUAUGGUGUAGCAGUGAAAUGCAUAGAUACCAUAAAGAACACCAAUUGCGAAGGCAGCUUACUAGACUGAGACUGACGCUGAGGCACGAAAGCGUGGGGAGCGAACAGGAUUAGAUACCCUGGUAGUCC